GAUGAAGAACGCAGCGAAAUGCGAUAAGUAAUGUGAAUUGCAGAAUUCAGUGAAUCAUCGAAUCUUUGAACGCACAUUGCGCCCUCUGGUAUUCCGGGGGGCAUGCCUGUUCGAGCGUCAUUAUAACCACUCAAGCUCUCGCUUGGUAUUGGGGUUCGCGGUUUCGCGGCCCCUAAAAUCAGUGGCGGUGCCUGUCGGCUCUACGCGUAGUAAUACUUCUCGCGAUUGAGUUCGAUAGGUCUACUUGCCAGUAACCCCCAAUUUUCACAGGUUGACCUCGGAUCAGGUAGGGAUACCCGCUGAACUUAAGCAUAUCAAUAAGCGGAGGA
rnacentral:misc_RNA from 1 species